GAUGAACGCUGGCGGCGUGCCUAAUACAUGCAAGUCGAGCGAACGGACGAGAAGCUUGCUUCUCUGAUGUUAGCGGCGGACGGGUGAGUAACACGUGGAUAACCUACCUAUAAGACUGGGAUAACUUCGGGAAACCGGAGCUAAUACCGGAUAAUAUUUUGAACCGCAUGGUUCAAAAGUGAAAGACGGUCUUGCUGUCACUUAUAGAUGGAUCCGCGCUGCAUUAGCUAGUUGGUAAGGUAACGGCUUACCAGGGCAACGAUGCAUAGCCGACCUGAGAGGGUGAUCGGCCACACUGGAACUGAGACACGGUCCAGACUCCUACGGGAGGCAGCAGUAGGGAAUCUUCCGCAAUGGGCGAAAGCCUGACGGAGCAACGCCGCGUGAGUGAUGAAGGUCUUCGGAUCGUAAAACUCUGUUAUUAGGGAAGAACAGAUGUGUAAGUAACUGUGCACAUCUUGACGGUACCUAAUCAGAAAGCCACGGCUAACUACGUG
rnacentral:rRNA from 1 species